GAGUUUGAUCCUGGCUCAGAACGAACGCUGGCGGCAGGCUUAACACAUGCAAGUCGAACGCCCCGCAAGGGGAGUGGCAGACGGGUGAGUAACGCGUGGGAACAUACCCUUUCCUGCGGAAUAGCUCCGGGAAACUGGAAUUAAUACCGCAUACGCCCUACGGGGGAAAGAUUUAUCGGGGAAGGAUUGGCCCGCGUUGGAUUAGCUAGUUGGUGGGGUAAAGGCCUACCAAGGCGACGAUCCAUAGCUGGUCUGAGAGGAUGAUCAGCCACAUUGGGACUGAGACACGGCCCAAACUCCUACGGGAGGCAGCAGUGGGGAAUAUUGGACAAUGGGCGCAAGCCUGAUCCAGCCAUGCCGCGUGAGUGAUGAAGGCCUUAGGGUUGUAAAGCUCUUUCACCGGAGAAGAUAAUGACGGUAUCCGGAGAAGAAGCCCCGGCUAACUUCGUGCCAGCAGCCGCGGUAAUACGAAGGGGGCUAGCGUUGUUCGGAAUUACUGGGCGUAAAGAGUUCGUAGGCGGUUUGUCGCGUCGUUUGUGAAAACUCACAGCUCAACUGUGAGCUUGCAGGCGAUACGGGCAGACUUGAGUACUGCAGGGGAGACUGGAAUUCCUGGUGUAGCGGUGAAAUGCGCAGAUAUCAGGAGGAACACCGGUGGCGAAGGCGGGUCUCUGGGCAGUAACUGACGCUGAGGAACGAAAGCGUGGGUAGCGAACAGGAUUAGAUACCCUGGUAGUCCACGCCGUAAACGGUGGGCGCUAGAUGUGGGUUCCUUCCACGGAAUCUGUGCCGUAGCUAACGCAUUAAGCGCCCCGCCUGGGGAGUACGGCCGCAAGGCUAAAACUCAAGGAAUUGACGGGGGCCCGCACAAGCGGCGGAGCAUGUGGAUUAAUUCGAUGCAACGCGAAGAACCUUACCUGGGUUUGUCACAUACCGGAAAGCAGUAGAGAUACGACCUCCCUUGUGGUCGGUAUUCAGGUGGUGCAUGGCUGUCGUCAGCUUGUGUCGUGAGAUGUCGGGAUAAGUCCCGCAACGAGCUCAACCCUUGUCUUCUGUAUCCAGCACGUAAAGAUGGGGACUCGUAAGAGACUCCCGGGGUCAACUCGGAGGAAGGUGGGGUCGACGUCAAGUCCUCAUUCCCAUUAUGUCCAGGGCUUCACACAUUAUGCAAUGGCCAGUACAGACGGUUGCGAGACCGUGAGUCGGAGUGACUGCCCUAAAGCUGGUCUCAGUUCGGAUCGGGGUUUGCAACUCGACCCCGUGAAUUCGGAGUCGCUCGUAAUUUCAGAUCAGCAUCUUUGCGGUGAAUACGUUCCCGGGCAUUAUACACACCUUCCGUCACGUCAUGAAAGUCGGUAACAACCGAAGCACGGUGGCCUAACCCCUUGUGGGAGGGACCCGUCGAAGGGGGGAUCGGCGAUUGGGACGAAGUCGUAACAAGGUAGCCUUUCCGGAAGGAGCGGCUGGAUCACCUCCUUUCU
rnacentral:rRNA from 1 species